rnacentral:other from 1 species
UAAUUCCUGGGGCGUUCGCGAAACUCACAUAUUUUGAUCCUACAUUUCUUCGACGGGAUGCCUACAUCUCCAUUCCUAUGUCAAGCCUCCUUAGAGUGGAAGGCAGAAGUCUGGAUGCGGUAACCCACCUAGCUAAGCUAGGAGUCGAAAGAGUGAGAAACGGCGUUCUGGGGUUUAA